AUAACCCUAAAGGUGAAUACUAAAGGGGAUAUUUGACUGAAGAUCAAGAGGUCCCAAGUUCAACUCUGGGUGCCCCCCA